rnacentral:rRNA from 1 species
AGUGAACGCUGGCGGUAGGCCUAACACAUGCAAGUCGAACGGCAGCACAGUAAGAGCUUGCUCUUACGGGUGGCGAGUGGCGGACGGGUGAGGAAUACAUCUGAAUCUACUUUUUCGUGGGGGAUAACGUAGGGAAACUUACGCUAAUACCGCAUACGACCUACGGGUGAAAGCAGGGGAUCUUCGGACCUUGCGCGAUUGAAUGAGCCGGUGUCGGAUUAGCUAGGUGGCGGGGUAAAGGCCCACCAAGGCGACGAUCCGUAGCUGGUCUGAGAGGAUGGUCCGCCACACUGGAACUGAGACACGGUCCAGACUCCUACGGGAGGCAGCAGUGGGGAAUAUUGGACAAUGGGCGCAAGCCUGAUCCAGCCAUACCGCGUGGGUGAAGAAGGCCUUCGGGUUGUAAAGCCCUUUUGUUGGGAAAGAAAAGCAGCAGGUUAAUACCCCGCUGUUCUGACGGUACCCAAAGAAUAAGCACCGGCUAACUUCGUG